AUUGAACGCUGGCGGCAUGCCUUACACAUGCAAGUCGAACGGCAGCAUGGAGAGCUUGCUCUCUGAUGGCGAGUGGCGAACGGGUGAGUAAAGCAUCGGAACGUACCGUGUAGUGGGGGAUAACGUAGCGAAAGUUACGCUAAUACCGCAUACGCACUGAGGUGGAAAGCAGGGGAUCGCAAGACCUUGCGCUAUACGAGCGGCCGAUGUCAGAUUAGCUAGUUGGUAGGGUAAAGGCCUAACAAGGCGACGAUAUGUAGCGGGUCUGAGAGGAUGAUCCGCCACACUGGGACUGAGACACGACCCAGACUCCUACGGGAGGCAGCAGUGGGGAAUUUUGGACAAUGGGGGCAACCCUGAUCCAGCCAUGCCGCGUGAGUGAAGAAGGCCUUCGGGUUGUAAAGCUCUUUCGGCCGGGAAGAAAUCGCACAGGCUAAUACUCUGUGUGGAUGACGGUACCGGCAUAAGAAGCACCGGCUAACUACGUGCCAGCAGCCGCGGUAA
rnacentral:rRNA from 1 species